GUUUCUUAUCGCCUUCUUAUCAUCAUGAGGAGCCCCAGAAUUGGAGCCAACUGGGAGGGAAGCAGAGCCAAUAGAUCACAAGCAAAAGACCAAGUCCUGAUGACAAACAUUUGUGCUCCUUGAUCAAGCACAUGAUGGCACCUUUUGAAAUAUCGAGAAAUACAUGUGUUGAACAUGAAUCUUGGACUGCGAUUGCUUCAAAGUCCUGGUGAAAAUCAGCAAAGUACAGCAGCAAGAUGGUAUGAAGACAUGGACUGACUUUACUUAUGUGUUCUGUGGCCUUCAGCCAGUCAUUUAUGCUUCUGGAGCCUCACUUGCUUCUCAGUGAAGCAGGGUUACAACUUCAACCUGAAGCGAGAAGAGGAGAAGGUCUCUCUGCAGUUGUGUCUUCUGGUUAUUACCUGAAUCACCUCGGGGAGCCAGAUACACACCUGUGAUCUGCUGGUAAUUCAGUAAAGGAAGCAUCACCUCCUUGUCCUGCUUGUUGCUGUUAAGUAGUUCUGGUGUAGUAAACCAUGUGCACAAUUUUGGACAUGCAAAGAAGAUAUGGUGGAACUGAACAUUCAAGAAGAGAGAGAAGAGGAAGAAGGCAGCAGAGCCUGGUGAGAGGGCACUGGAAAGCAUGCACCCCUGCCCUCUCCCAGCUGCUCCCCAGCCCUCUCCUAGCCUGCACCCCAGAGGGAAAAAAAGAAAACAAAAGAAAAAGAGAAGACACUACAGAACAUGUCCUUGUUUCACAAUGUCGUCAUCAUGUAAACGUGAAUCGAGUACAGCUUCCUGAGGUUGCACAGAGAGUUAAACUUCUGCUGGGAAAAGGCAAGAAGGGCCAAUGGCUGCGAGAUGACAGGUUCCAUAAAGGAAAUACUCUCUGACCAGGCCCUGAUGGCACAAGGUGAGUGUUCAGCCCAGUCAUCAGGGUUCCCUUUAAGGUCUGUGUGGAGAAAGGUCUGUGUUGAGAAAGCCUAGUAGAAAUGCAACUCAGUAAGGUUCAUUCUGAAACAUCUCAGCUGGAACUCUCUGAAAAUUAUUUGAAAACACAGCUGUGGAGUCACUUGAAGGAGGAAUCAAGCAUCUGUAUAUAACACUAGGGUUGGGUACAGCAAUUGGAAUAUGGGAGUUAACAGGUAUGGGUCUACCUCUGAGAGAUGAGAGACCCUGGAAAAUGUUUCAUCUUUCCAGACUGUUUCAUCAUAAGGGAUAUAUAUCUUCCUCAUUGCAUUAAUAUGAGGGCUCUUUGUUGUAAUUUAAUGAAGAGUCCACCACAGCACUGAGCUCAGAGAUGGGAACAAGAAACUUUGGCCAGUGGGUUCUCUGCCAAAAUAUUUUAAGCCACUUCGAUUCUUUUCCAUAUGGUCUCUUCACGGACUAGGACGAGACCUUCUGGUGGAGUCAUGAGAGAGCCCCAUAUCCCAUGGCUGACACUGGGAUGGUAAAUUAGAGAUACUUGUCAACUGAAUCUAAAAAAUCAGGACACCAGUGCUCAAAAAGCCAGAGUCACUGUGAAGGCAAUUAUUUAACACCUUGGAGAUUAUACUCCUCUGCCUAAAAAUAUCCUACUUAAAAGAAAGGAGAGCUAAGUUCCUAGCUCCUCCUCUUGAGGUUUUUAUUUAAAGAAUACCCCAUCUUUACUCGCAGCUGAAAGGCUGAAGAUUAAAAAUUAGCCACUGUAUAGUAGCUGAGCAGUAACAAUUUUUCAUAAAGGUUUUUACUACACAUUUGGGAUUAUAAUUUCAAUAUUAUGCAAAUGCAUUUUAUGGAUCUGUAAUACAGAAUGUGUACUGGUGUUAAUGUACAUUAGCGGGCGAGCUCAGAAAGGCUCCAAAUGAGCCAUUUUGGUGUCUGCUUUCAGUGUGUAUUAUGAAUAAUAAGUAAAAUGUUCUGGUUUAGAACAAAUAAUAUAAAAUCUGAAUUCCUCUUGAUGUUCAUCAGUGAUACAGCCCUAUGCAACUCCCAAGGAAUUCUUCCAUUGGACACAAUUAAAAACUGGCUCUUAACCAAUAUGUUCCUGUUUAUGGCUUCUCUUCUUGGAUGGUAUGUGAAAGUAAAAUAGCUGUGUUUAAUAGGGAAAGGGGUAGUUUCCCCCUGUUGAUCAAAAUCAGGCAUUCACCAGAUGAGUGCAUUAGAAAGGGCAUAACCCCUUAAAUGUCAAGACAGUGGCCCAGGCUACUUUUGUUUUUAGAAGUUCUGAGUAUUAAAAAGUGAGGAAAUAUCUUAACAAGGUUACAAAGCUUGUGGCAUAUUUUCAAUUAAUAGACUUCAUGCCUUUAACACAAAAUAUUUCAGAUAACUGUGUUGUUCUAAGGAUAUUUAAACAAUGUAAGUAAUACUUAAUAGUUUGUUGCAAGCCUUGAGAUCCAACUUAGAGACCCAUGUUGAAUUUUGUCUGAUGUGUGUUUUACCCCUGUCAGUAUGUCUUCAUGGUUACAGAUUAGAAAAAAUGCUCAAAAACUAAUUUGAGGUUCUUCCUAAGUGCAGAGGCCUGAGCCAGACUCUCUUCAGGCUUCUCUGAGUUAAAGCCUAAAACAUGUUUCUUUCCUUUUAAAUUUAAUAUUUUCACAUUCCAAUUUUGUAUGGCACAGAAAGCAAGACAAAGUGAUGUCACAUGUGCUGAUGGUGGUAGCUGAUUAUAAGUAAUGCAGAAUUUCUGUUUGCAUUGAUUUAGUUAGGACCUUACGGUCUAUUGAUCUUGUUUCUUGCACGUGUGUUUAACACCUGCCUUGUUCUUUGGCAGUCUGGAGGAAGGCAAGAUUACCUGGCCAAUAAUUAUGGGUUGGGCAUUCAGUUGAGUAAGAAUAAUGUAAAAAUAUUCUCUCUCAAACAGGCAUCCUUAACAUAAUGUAUUUUAAAAUGCCACAGAUUCCAUAACGUAUCUUCGAAAUGACAAUAAAAAUAUCCAUGCAU
ensembl:lncRNA